GACGAACGCUGGCGGCGUGCUUAACACAUGCAAGUCGAACGAUGACGACCGAGCUUGCUCGGUCUGAUUAGUGGCGAACGGGUGAGUAACACGUGAGCAACCUGCCCUUCACUCUGGGAUAACCUCGGGAAAUCGGGGCUAAUACCGGAUAUGAGCUCCUGUCGCAUGGCGGGUGUUGGAAAGUUUUUCGGUGAAGGAUGGGCUCGCGGCCUAUCAGUUUGUUGGUGAGGUAGUGGCUCACCAAGGCGAUGACGGGGAGCCGGCCUGAGAGGGCGACCGGCCACACUGGGACUGAGACACGGCCCAGACUCCUACGGGAGGCAGCAGUGGGGAAUAUUGCACAAUGGGCGAAAGCCUGAUGCAGCGACGCCGCGUGAGGGAUGACGGCCUUCGGGUUGUAAACCUCUUUCAGCAGGGAAGAAGCGAAAGUGACGGUACCUGCAGAAGAAGCGCCGGCUAACUACGUG
rnacentral:rRNA from 1 species